rnacentral:rRNA from 1 species
CCUACGGGGAGCUGCAGUGGGGAAUAUUGGACAAUGGGCGAAAGCCUGAUCCAGCCAUGCCGCGUGUGUGAAGAAGGCCUUCGGGUUGUAAAGCACUUUCAGUGGGGAAGAAAGCCUUGGGGCUAAUACCCUCGAGGAAGGACAUCACCCACAGAAGAAGCACCGGCUAACUCCGUGCCAGCAGCCGCGGUAAUACGGAGGGUGCGAGCGUUAAUCGGAAUUACUGGGCGUAAAGCGCGCGUAGGCGGUCUGAUAAGCCGGUUGUGAAAGCCCCGGGCUCAACCUGGGAACGGCAUCCGGAACGGUCAGGCUAGAGUGCAGGAGAGGAAGGUAGAAUUCCCGGUGUAGCGGUGAAAUGCGUAGAGAUCGGGAGGAAUACCAGUGGCGAAGGCGGCCUUCUGGACUGACACUGACGCUGAGGUGCGAAAGCGUGGGUAGCAAACAGGAUUAGAUACCCCGGUAGUC